rnacentral:rRNA from 1 species
CUUAACUGAUUUCUUCGGAAUGAUUUUAAGUGGAUUAGUGGCGGACGGGUGAGUAACGCGUGAGUAACCUGCCUUGCACAAGGGGAUAGCCGUUGGAAACGACGAAUAAUACCCUAUGAUAUAAACUCUUCGCAUGAAGGGCUUAUCAAAGAUUUAUCGGUGUAAGAUGGACUCGCGUCUGAUUAGCUAGUUGGUGGGGUAACAGCCUACCAAGGCAACGAUCAGUAGCCGGCUUGAGAGAGUGUACGGCCACAUUGGGACUGAGACACGGCCCAGACUCCUACGGGAGGCAGCAGUGGGGAAUUUUGCACAAUGGGGGCAACCCUGAUGCAGCGACGCCGCGUGAUUUAGAAGGCCUUCGGGUUGUAAAAAUCUUUUGUAUGGGAAGAAAAUGACAGUACCAUACGAAUAAGGACCGGCUAAUUACGUGCCAGCAGCCGCGGUAAUACGUAAGGUCCGAGCGUNGUCCGGAAUCAUUGGGCGUAAAGGGUACGUAGGCGGAUAAGCAAGUUAGAAGUGAAAUCCUAUAGCUCAACUAUAGUAAGCUUUUAAAACUGUCAUCUCGAGGUAUGGAAGGGACACGUGGAAUCCUAUGUAGCGGUGAAAUGC